rnacentral:rRNA from 1 species
UACGUAGGGCGCAAGCGUUGUUCGGAUUCAUUGGGCGUAAAGGGUGCGUAGGUGGCGUGGUAAGUCGGGUGUGAAAUCUCGGAGCUUAACUCCGAAAUUGCAUUCGAUACUGCCGUGCUUGAGGACUGGAGAGGAGACUGGAAUUCAUGGUGUAGCAGUGAAAUGCGUAGAGAUCAUGAGGAAGACCAGUGGCGAAGGCGGGUCUCUGGACAGUUCCUGACACUGAGGCACGAAGGCCAGGGGAGCAAACGGG